CAGUAGCCACGGGAAUACGGAGGGUGCAAGCGUUAAUCGGAAUUACUGGGCGUAAAGCGCACGCAGGCGGUCUGACAAGUCAGAUGUGAAAUCCCCGGGCUUAACCUGGGAACUGCAUUUGAAACUGUCAGGCUGGAGUCUUGUAGAGGGGGGUAGAAUUCCAGGUGUAGCGGUGAAAUGCGUAGAGAUCUGGAGGAAUACCGGUGGCGAAGGCGGCCCCCUGGACAAAGACUGACGCUCAGGUGCGAAAGCGUGGGGAGCAAACAGGAUUAGAUACCCCAGUAGUCCCUGUCUCUUAUAC
rnacentral:rRNA from 1 species